GCAGUCACCACACUGUUGUCAGAACUGAACACAGACAGCUCAUCAUGGAGCUUCGGCUGAGCCUGGUUCUCCUGCUGGUCAUUUUGAAAGGUGUCCAGGCUGAAGUGCAGCUGGUGGAGUCCGGAGGAGCCUUGGUGCAGCCUGGGGGGUCCCUGAGACUCUCCUGUAUGGCCUCUGGAUUCAAUUUUGGGAGUUACGGCAUGCACUGGAUUCGCCAGGCUCCAGGGAAGGGGCUGGAGUGGAUCUCACUCAUCUAUAAUGAUGGUAGUGAUAAGUACUACGCAGACUCCGUGAAGGGCCGAUUCACCAUCUCCAGAGACAACGGAAAGAACAUGCUGUAUCUGCAAAUGAGCAGCCUGAGGCCGGAGGAUACGGCUCUGUAUUACUGUGCAAAAGACACAGUGAGUGACUAUCAGUGA